GCCUGAUUAGCAUAGUGGCUAAUGCGUCGCACUUGUAUCGUGGACCCCUCACUAAAAGGUUUCCUCUUACGACAUGCGAAGAUCACAGGUUCAAUUCCUGUAUCAGGCA